CUGACACUGCCCAAUCGUCUCGGAAGCUCCUAGACCAACACCGACACCGAGCUUUAGAUAUCUAUUGAGUACUACUAAGGCCAGACACUAUUCUAAGUGCUAGGCACACAUCAGAAAGAAACAGAUAUUUCUGCUCACUAUGGUAGUUAUAAUUAAAACAAUUGAACUCAGAGGUACAGUAGUGAGAGGUGACAGCAUGCUGGCAGCCCUCACAGCCCUCGCUCGCUCUCAGUGCCUCCUCGGCCUCAGCGCCCACUCUGGCCACACUUGAGAAGCCCUUCAGCCUGCCGCUGCACUUUGGGAGCCCCUUUCUAGGCUGGCCGAGGCUGGAGCCAGCUCACUCAGCUUGCAGGGAGGGGUGGAGGGAGAGGCAUGGGCGGGAACUGGGGCUGCGUGCAGCGCUUGCAGGCCAGCGUGAGUUCCGGGUGGGCGUGGGCUUCGUGGGCCCUGCACUCAGAGCGGCCGGCCGGCUCCACCGGCCCAGGGCACUGAGGGGCUUAGCACCCGGGCCAGCAGCUGCGGAGGGUGUGUCGGGUCCCUCAGCAGUGCUGGCCCAGUGGUGCUGCACUCGAUUUCUUGCCAGGCCUUAGCUGCCUCCCUAUGGGGCAGGGCUCAGGACCUGCAGCCCCCCAUGCCUGAGCACUUCCCCUCCAUGCCAUGGGCUCCUGCACAGCCCGAGCCUCCCUGACAAGCACCGCCCCCUGCUCCAUGGUGCCUGGUCCCACUGACCACCCAAGGGCUGAGAAGUGCGGGCGCAAGGUGCGGGACUGGCAGGCAGCUCUACCUGCGGCCCUGGCGCGGGAUCCACUGGGUGAAGCCAGCUGGGCUCCUGAGUCUAGUGGGGACUUGGAGAACCUUUAUGUCUAGCUAAGGGAUUGUAAAUACGCCAAUCAGCACUCUGUGUCUAGCUCAAGGUUUGUAAAUGUACCAAUCUGCACUCUGUGUCUAGCUGAUCUGGUGGGGGCUUGGAGAACCUUUAUGUCUAGCUAAGGGAUUGUGAAUACACCAGUCGGCACUCUGUAUCUAGCUCAAGGUUUGUAACUGCACCAAUCAACACUCUGUGUCUAGCUCAGGGUUUGUAAAUACACCAAUCAGCAUUCUGUAGCUAGCUAAUCUAGUGGGGACUUGGAGAACUUUCGUGUCUAGCUCAGGGAUUGUAAAUGCACCAAUCAGCACCCUGUCAAAAUGGACCAAUCAGCUUUUUGUAAAACAGACCAAUCAGCUCUCUGUAAAAUGGACCAAUCAGCAGGAUGUGGGUGGGGCCAGAUAAGAGAAAAAAAGCAGGCUGCCCCAGCCAGCAGUGGCAACCCUCUGGAGUCCCCUUCCACAUUGUGGAAGCUUUGUUCUUUUGCUCUUUGCAAUAAAUCUUGCUACUGCUCAUUCUUUGGGUCCACACUGCCUUUAUGAGCUGUAACACUCACCGUGAACGUCUGCAGCUUCACUCCUGAAGCCAUCGAGACCACGAACCCACUGGGAGGAAAAAACAACUCCAGACACACCGCCUUAAGAACUGUAACACUCACCACGAAGGUCUGCAGCUUCACUCCUGAGCCAGCGAGACCACAAUCCCACCAGAAGGAAGAAAGUCCAAACACAUCCGAACAUCAGAAGGAACAAACUCCAGACACGCUGCCUUUAAGAACUGUAACACUCACCGCGAGGGUCAGCGGCUUCAUUCUUGAAGUCAGUGAGACCAAGAACCCACCAAUUCCGGACGCAGUAGGAUGAUGGUUAUCAGAGGGUAGGAAGGGUAGCAGUGGUGGGAGGUAGAGAUGGUUAAUGAGUAUAAAAAUAUAGUUAUAUACAAGGAAUAAGAUUUAGUAUUUGAUACUAGAUCUAGUUUUUGCUACUACAACAAUGUGAUUAUGAAGGAAGAGAGAGACCUUCUCAUGUUGUUUUAUACUCAGUACCUGUUUUAAGAAGAAACAACAAAGAAGUAAAGCCAAAGACAGGCAGCCUGGCGCCAGGCCUGAAACCAGGCCUGGGCCUGCCUGGCCUAAAUCCAGUAGUUAAAAAUCAACUCAUAACUUAGAAACCGAUGUUAUUCAUAGAUUCCAGACACUGUAUAGAAGAACAUUGUGAAACUCCUUGCCCUGUUCUGUUUCUCUCUGACCACUGGUGCACGCAGCCCCUGUCACGUACUGCCUGCUUGCUCAAAUCAAUCAUGAUCCUUUCCUAUGAAAUCUUUAGUGUUGUGAGCCCUUAAAAGGGACAGAAAUUGUGCACUCGGAGAGCUCGGAUUUUAAGGCAGUAGCUUGCCAAUGCUCCCAGCUGAAUAAAGCCCUUCCUUCUACAACUCGGUGUCUGAGAGGUUUUGUCUGCAGCUCGUCCUGCUACAAUUACAGUCCACAAAAAUGUAUCGUACAUUGCAAAAUAAAUAAGACUAUAAUCUGAAUGUUUAUAACAAAAAAAAUAAAUGCUUGAGGUACUAGAUACCCUAUUUACUCUGAUGUGACUAUUAU
rnacentral:lncRNA from 1 species